UAUGUGAUCGUCUCUCGCAUAUCAAUAAGCGGAGGAAAAGAUGACCUACCUACGCUUAGGAUGUUGACGAGACUGUCGAUCUCAUCUAUACAUGACUCUGUGCAUAUCAAUAAGCGGAGGAAAAGCCAACUACCUACGCUUAGGAUGUUGACGAGACUGUCGAUCUCAUCUAUACAUGACUCUGUGCAUAUCAAUAAGCGGAGGAAAAGAAACUAACAAGGAUUCCCUUAGUAACGGCGAGUGAAGCGGGAAGAGCUCAAAUUUGAAAUCUUCAAGGUUUUACCUUGACGAAUUGUAGUUUAAAGAAGUGUUUUCUGCUGAAGUUUUGGUAAAAGUUCUUUGGAAUAGGACAUCAUAGAGGGUGAGAAUCCCGUAUUUGACCAUUAUUUUCAGCUUUGUGAUACACUUUCAAAGAGGUCGGAUUGUUUGGGAAUGCAGUCCAAAAUGGGUGGUAAAUUUCAUCUAAAGCUAAAUAUUGGCGAGAGACCGAUAGCGAACAAGUACCGUAAGGGAAAGAUGAAAAGAACUUUGAAAAGAGAGUUAAACAGUACGUGAAAUUGUCAAAAGGGAAGCGUUUGACACCAGUGUUGUUUUCUCGAAAAUCAAUUAAAAAUGGCUCGAUUUUGUAUUGUUGAGACCUUAAAAGCUCACUGUACAUUUUUCGUGUCUUUUUUAAUGCACUUUUCGUUUAACAAGUCAACAUCAGUUUCUUUUGUUGUAAAAGGGUCAUUGGAAGGUGGCUUUCUUUUCGGAGAAAGUGUUUAUAGCCUUUGGCCUCUGCAAUCGGAGAGACUGAGGUCUGCAGCGUAGACUCUUCGGGGUUAGAUACAUUUGUGCUAAGUUAUAGCUUUUUAUAGACAACUUGUUGACUAUAAUUAGUCUUGUAGCUUACUCGCUUAUGCUAUUUUACCUACGCUUAGGAUGUUGAAGAUGUAGCACAUCAU
rnacentral:rRNA from 1 species